UACGUAGGGUGCGAGCGUUAAUCGGAAUUACUGGGCGUAAAGUGUGCGCAGGCGGCAGAGCAAGUCGAGUGUGAAAGCCCCGGGCUUAACUUGGGAAUUGCGCUCGAAACUACUUUGCUAGAGUGUGGCAGAGGAAGGUGGAAUUCCACGUGUAGCGGUGAAAUGCGUAGAGAUGUGGAGGAACACCAAUGGCGAAGGCAGCCUUCUGGGCCAACACUGACGCUCAUGCACGAAAGCGUGGGGAGCAAACAGG
rnacentral:rRNA from 1 species